UCCCUAGUGGUCCAGUGGCUAAGACUCUGAGCUGCCAAUGCAGGGGGCCUGGGUUCAAUCCCUGGUCAGGGAA
rnacentral:tRNA from 1 species